rnacentral:lncRNA from 1 species
GGAAUAGACAGUCAAAGGGUGCUUCCUCCUGGCUAUUUCGGUUAAACCCUGUAAGCUGAGGCGUGUACCAACUUUCCUCAGCAUACCUGCCAGUGGGUACCUCCAGGGCCCAUGAUGCCCUCCGUACUCUUUCAUAAGCCUCUAUCAGCAAAUGUGUACUCAGGCACAAGCAGCCUGAACCAUGUCACCAAGGCCAGAGUCCCACAGUGUGAGUCUGUUUCUCUGCUCACUCCGGCCCUUUCUGACUUCCAUUAGCCAGGACAAUGACUUGCUGACGCCAGAAGUCAGCUGUGUAAAUCCUGAAUGGUAAUUCACAGUUGGAGUUCAAGGUCACCGCCAAAUUAAGGUCUGAACUUAGAGAGGAGGGCGCCACCUCCUGGAGAGAGCGUGCGGCCCGACAACCAGCCUGGCUGGAGAGCCCGGUUUAUUCCUCCAAACCUCAGCACCCCAGAAAGUGGGCAGGGUUCCUCUGACAUACAAUCCCGUAAGGACAGCUCCAGAUUGACUUUACGGAGUCCCCGUCUAUUGAGUUAUCCAGGACCAGCCAAAAGAGACAACUAGGGGCAGUCGAAGGGUUCAAGGUCUCCAGGGCCCACAACGCCUAAGCCUAGUUCGGAGAGGAGCCGAGCAUAUCCGAAAAGGGACGAACAAAGCCGCCCAGCCGAGCAAGGCCAAGCAAAGCUGAAUCCUGGCCGAGUACGGCCGAGUAGAGCCGAACAGAGUCGAUUCUUCCCGAGUCAAAACGAACAGACCGGGUGAGAUCCGACAGCGGGCGAAUCUGAGCAAAGAGGAAAAUAGGGUACUCUAAGGUCUAGCGGCGUCCCCUGGCGGACGCAGAAAGCACUGGGCUAACCUGAGCGGGAGUCAUCCGGUCACCUUACAGUCCUGUAAAAUGGGGUUGUGGGGGUGCACUUCAGGAAUAAAGAAAGUGAGUCUCCGCCCGGGCCCAGGGCAGUCUCACGGGCACUCUGAGCUAGGAAGUGAAGGAUCUGGAGUUCCCUUGAUUGUGUGUGGCCAAGAACACCCCUGUCGCUUACAACCCACAUCUUUACAGUGGACUCCCCGAGAGCUUGAGGGUUACCAGCAGCAGGAAGAGGCUUUGUCAGGAGUACGCUUUGCUCACCUCUAAGGGGUCCCUUACAACACAGCCCAGGGUC